GUAAAAACGAUGAUGGAACAAGUACGUUUUUGUGCGUGUAGAAGAAAGGGAUUUCUAGGCUGAAAAAAUCCUCACAAUCGCAACUACGGAAAGCUACUCCAGAGUGCAGCUAAUCCCUGCCGUUCACUGACGUUACAAGUGCUAGAGAGGUAAGUAUUUUUGCAUGCUUACAACUAGGGUGGUACCGCGAGAUUGUUACAAGUCCUCGUCCCUUUA
rnacentral:ncRNA from 1 species